rnacentral:pre_miRNA from 1 species
CCCUUAACUAUUAAAAGUUUCAUUUUCGUCCUUUAACUUACUUUUUGGUUUCGUUUUGGUCCCUUAACUCUUCCUCCGUCAACCACUUUGGUCCUCUAUGUUAGGAUGAAUGUAUUAGAGUUAAGAGACCAAAAUGAAACCAAAAAAUAAGUUAAUGGACCAAAACGAAACCAAAAAAUAAGUUAAGGGACCAAAACGAAACUUUUAAUAGUUAAGGGA